GAUGAACGCUAGCGGCAGGCUUAACACAUGCAAGUCGAGGGGUAUAGUUCUUCGGAGCUAGAGACCGGCGCACGGGUGCGUAACGCGUAUGCAAUCUACCUUUUGCAGAGGGAUAGCCCAGAGAAAUUUGGAUUAAUACCUCAUGGUAUGUGAGAAUGGCAUCAUUUUCACAUUAAAGUCACAACGGCAAAAGAUGAGCAUGCGUCCCAUUAGCUAGUUGGUAAGGUAACGGCUUACCAAGGCAACGAUGGGUAGGGGUCCUGAGAGGGAGAUACCCCACACUGGUACUGAGACACGGACCAGACUCCUACGGGAGGCAGCAGUGAGGAAUAUUGGACAAUGGGCGCAAGCCUGAUCCAGCCAUGCCGCGUGCAGGAUGACGGUCCUAUGGAUUGUAAACUGCUUUUGUACAGGAAGAAACACUGGUUCGUGAACCAGCUUGACGGACUGUAAGAAUAAGGAUCGGCUAACUUCGUGCCAGCCGCCGCGGUAACAC
rnacentral:rRNA from 1 species